AACCAAAAACAUAAGUGUGAGUGUAAAGACUAGGCUUGUUGUAACAAACUUUGUGGGACAAUAAAUUGUCAUAGAAUUUCCUAGAAUAAUAAUAAUAAUGCAAGAACACAUUCGCAAAGAUCAAUAAACUUUCAUUUCUAAUGAACAUUUAACACUGGAACUGGAAGAUAUCUUAAAUAUCCGAAGCAACAAAUAAAAUAAACAAUGAAUUCUUUAGCAACAAAAUUAUCCUUCAAAGGUGGGCUUGUUGAGACCAAAACCCCAGACUGAAGACUUUUGUCCUCUUGUUUUUGAUAGAAAAAGAGAUAAAAGAACAAUAAAUUAUACAAAUGGAAAUUAUUGAGCUUGUUCUAAUUCAUCAUCUAAUUAAUUCAUGUAUUAUUUAUUCUAACAGGCCUAUUUACAAACACCUAUAUUUAUGCCAUAAUAAUAUCAGCCAUGUUGUACUCUCUCGCUAACGUGGUUCUUGAAACUCAUAGCCAGGCUCUAGAAUAAAACCUACAAACCUACUAACAUUGUGCUGAACUCCUAACAAACUUCCUAGUUCGACUCAACACUGUACAGUUCUUUCUUCUUCAAAUGCUUUAAAUCUUUUCAGAUUUUUCAUGGUACCAACAAUGUAGCUCUUUCUGCUCCGACGUCUAUUUGAAAUGGUAACUUCAAAUAAAGUCCUACCAGCUUUUAAAAACUGUUACAGCCAGAGGUCAUUUUUCCGAACCAGUCGGCUCCUAGCAGAGCCGGACAUCCUGUUGCUCAUCCUCUCCAUGAUCCUGAGGUGCAUUAUGAGAAGUGAUAUCAAAGCUUUAAUGUUGACUCAAAUUGCUGGAUUCGCGACUUUAACAACCUGAUAGAACCACUCCAUAAAGUGAAAUUAACCUUACUGACUUGGCUUCAUUGGAAUCGGGAUGGACUGUAUGUGUGUGGACGUUAACUGGGACAGUACAAUUGGAUUCUACGUGCCAGCAUGUGAAUCCGACCGGUGCACAUGAGAUGAGAAACGCUGUAAUAAACUGAAUACAUAUGAAACAAAUAACUUGUUGCUGAAUCCUCGAAUAAAACCAUCCAUGGACAUCCAACUCUGGGGAAUUCUGUUGUAACAGGUGGCACCAUUAGGCGUCGCUCUUUCUAUUGCUUGAGCCUCCAUAAAAGGGAAGCUAGAAGGAUGGUGGCAAAGUAUCAAUUUCCUGUGUGUCAGACCAGCUGUGUGUUGGGUGUUUGCUGGCUGUGGAGUUGAUUGCCGAUGGUGUUUGGACGGUAUCAUUACCUGGGCGUGGUUGUUCGACGCCGCAGGGUUACACCAGAUCGGCUACUCCACGGUUUGAGCUGGGAGUGUUGAUUUAUGCAACACAGUUUUUGCACUGCCUCCUGCUGUCCUUUUAGCGUUUGGGUUUUCUUUUU